AGGAGGGGAAAAUCUAUUAAAAAAAAAAAAAAUCAGGAGCAUCUCUCAGAGAAACCCUUUUCAACAAAAUCAAGGACCAGAGAACCUCAGACCGACCCUAACGUUCCUGCUGUGAGGCCCGCGGGCUAUGGAAUCACGCACGUCACCUGGCCCCAGCAGGGCGGCCAGCUGAGGGGGUUCUUUUUAUUUUAUUUUCCUUUAUUUUUUGAAGUUAAGGCUGAAUCUCGGCUUCAGUGCUUUUGCCAACGUCUCCACUGACAGGAACCAGCAAACUUCAGGACUCAAAUGAGCGUCUUAAUUUAUUGAUGCAAAACAGGUCUGAUUGUCGCCCCCAAUUCUCGGCGCGCUCGGUCCCCCACGCCCCCAGCUUCGGUCCCUCCAUUUGAUCUCAGGGUCAAAAGUGGAUCAUUGAGGCAGUUGACAAAUAAUUAAGACGUGGUACUUAAGGAAAGAAAUCAUAAGGAGGAAAUGGACCGGACUAGUACAAGUAUGAUUUGCUUAUGCCGCCAAGUGUGAAGUUGCACUUGAGAAUAAAUGAUCUCCUCACCUGCUAACACCACACAAGAGCUGAAGAAGGAAAACAAAGAAGGAGAAUCAGAGAAGACUAUCGGGAGGAAUUCAGAACAUCUUCACCUGGAUUUUCAUCGGUACUCGUCAUCUCUUUCCUGGAACGCUGUGCCCACCUCCCGACUGGCUUUCCUGUUUCCAGUCUUUCCUCCCUCGUAUCUAUUCUCCAUCACCGGUAUGAGUCAUUGAUCUACAACAACAUCUAUCUGACUGUGUCACCACUGUCAGCAGUUCCCAAUGACAUGACUGUGGUAUUCCUCAAACUCAGCGAACCUCAAAGAUGGACCCCUGAGGAUUCAAGGAGCUAAUACUUAUUGACUGCGUACUGUUUGCCAGACUCUGACUCCAUGCUUUACCUAUCUUGUUUCAUUAAACCCUGAAAGCAUCUUGUGAGAAUGGACAGUCUUGCUCCUUUUGUAUUUUUCCUGGGCUCAGAACAUGCUUGUGCUGGAGUGAAUAAAGGCAUGGGGUGACUUGUGAGGACAAGGAGUGCUGGGAAUCAGCAUUUCUGUGUAAUCCCUUCCAUUGUGCCAGACACUGUUGUAGCACCAACAUGUCUUAUCUUAUUCAAUUUUCACAAGAAUAGUAAGAACAAGGUGUUAAUUUUGCGGAAGAAGAAACAGACCAGAGACAAUCUCUUGUCACCCACCUGAGCAGAGCUUGACUUCAGACCCAACCCUCUCUGAAUCCAGGACCUGUGUUAAUUUCAUGACAAUGUGCCACAAGAGAGAAAAAAAAAAAGACAUGAGAAGGACCAUUACUACUCUUUUUCUUGUUACUGGGACUACCUCCACGUAUUGGAUGCCUGCUGGUGCCAUACACCAUGACAGCUAAAUUUUGGAUACCAUCAAAUCUAAUCACUUUAAGAAUCUAGUGAUUCAGAUGUUAUUAUUAUUUCAGAGAAUGAAACAGUCACUGAGAAGUUAAGUAACUGCCCAAGAACAAACAGCAAGUAAACCAUGAGCUCAAAACUGGGUUGGCUUCAUUGCAAAGUGUGGGUACUUCUGUCAAUGUAGGAAAACGCAUUUAAGAUCUGGAAGUUUCACCUGGAAACCUGAGAGUUGUGAGAUAAGUCAGGAAAUCAGGCAACCAGACUGCUCAAUAAUUUUUCCAGAUAAUUUUUCGAAGUACUUUUGUUUUCUUAUUUGCUUCCAGUCAUGAUUUUGGUGGUGUAGAUAUUCCACUAAAUCUACGUAUUAUGAAAAAGUACUCCGUGAUCCUAAAAAAGAAUGUUCUGCUUAUUGGCUUAUUCCCCAUUAUGUUUUAAAGCAUCUUACCUAUAUAAUACAUGUAAAAUAUACUACAUCUGAUCAAACCAUUUUUUUUUUUUAGAUUAUAGUAGUAAUUUGGCUCUUCUUGCUUUUAACAAUUUGAGCAUUCAUUCAAUAUUUAUUCCACAUAGCCAUUUUUUUCUUUUACUGUGUAAAUCCUACCUGGAGAUCUAUGAAAUACUGGUAAGAGUCUAUGGUAAAGACAAAUAAGGAAUAUUAUAACUAGCAUAGAAGAUUUUAAAACUAUACUCUGAUUUUAUACUAAUUUGUAGUCUCUGAUUUAAGAGGAUCUAUCCUAGAUCACUACUAAGCUAUUAAAUGUCGGGAACCCUCUGCAUGGCAGUAUUUUGGGGCCAGGUGUAAGUGGAAAAGAAGAGGCCUCAGAUGACUUUAAAUAAUUUUAAUCAAUAUGUCUUCUCAUUCCCGGUAUCCUAUUUUGAUGUUUCACUCAUUCUUCUUGUACCAUGCUCUUCAUUGCUCUUCAUGCCUUUGUCAAGGAUUUUUUUUUUUUUAAACGGAGACCUAGGUUACCAUUUGGCAUAUGUCUCCCUUGUCAGUGACAUCUUGAAAAUUAAAAAAAAAUAAUACCUCCCUCACAUGCAUCCAUUCAGGUUGGCUGCCUGUAACCGACUGCGCCAUGCUUCAAAAUGUGUCACCUUAUUAAAUUCUGCAAAUUGUUCUGAACAUUGUCUCUAUAAAUGUUUUGGAAGGGCUUUACUGUCAGGUCAGCUUUCUAAGGGCUAGAAAUAUGUCAAACCUGGCAGCCUUACCUUUAUUUAAGAGCCAAAAUACAAAUAAGUAGAUUACAAAGCAAUCAAUCAAUACGGCAUUGCAGGAUGUUAUGGUUGGCAUUGACCUCGGAGUUCGGCACCCUCAUUUUACAGAUGAAUAAACUCAUCCAUAAGCUCUGCAGGAGAUGGGGUUCGGCCUUGAUUCAGUUACAACUAGCUAACCUUGGACAUGCUGCUGUGCCUCAGUUUCCUCAUGUGACAGGGAGGAGCUUUCCUUUUGUUAGGUAAUCCCUCAGGCAUUUUCCUACUUCCAGUUUCUGUGUGUCACGACAAAAUGGAUUGUAUUGAUGCAUUUCUAGUCCUUAAAAAAGUUUCUUAACUCACACAGAAUAACUCUUCUAAUCUUUUAUGGGGCCUCCUUAUAUAUUCUCUAAAAGUUGGACACAUGAGCAAUUUACAGUUAUUGGGAAAAACGUAACUUUUAUUCACUGUCAAAAGAAUAAACAGACGAAGAUCUUU